AAAUACCUAAUGUGAUUGAAAUAUAAUAAAAAUUAAUGAUCUUGAAUAAUAAUGAUUUGCUAAAAAAUUGUGUACCCUCUAUCAUUUUGUUUAAUUAUAUAUUAUUAAACAUACAUGAAUCUAUCUAUGUAUUUGAUUUUUAUAACAAUUAAAAUGUAUUCUCUGAAUUAGUAAUGGGUAAUAUCAAGCUGGAUAACCAUUUUCCGUACUUAUACUUGUCUUGUGGUCGGGCGGUAAGGGAAAAGGUUGGAAACGCGAACACGUUUCAAGUUCGAUUCACCUGCUACGAGAAACUAAGUCACAUUAUCCUGAACACCCACGUGAUGGGCCUUUGCAUUCUUGCUAUAAAUAAUCAGCCAUUACUUUGAGAAAGAAUUGCAACAAUGAUCAUGUUUGGCUUUCAAAACUGCUUCAUGUUCAUCAUCCUAUGCUUCCUCUCAUUCCUCUGUUAACUAUCUCUUUGUCAAGAAACCGAGCAGCUCAAGAAGUGGCUUUGAUGAUCUGCCUCCGAGCCCUCCUUCUCUCCCAAUCAUCGGCCAUCUUCACCUCCUCCUCUCUGCUCCAACCCACAAGGCUCUUCAGAAACUCUCAUCCAAGUACGGACCUCUCUUCCAUCUCCGCAUCUUCAACAUUCCCAUGGUCAUCGUCUCCUCCGCCUCCGUGGCUUACGAGAUCUUCAGGGCGCACGACGCCAACAUCUCCUCUCGUGGCCCCCCUCCCAUAGACGACUCUCUUUUCGCAGGAUCUACAAGCUUUAUCUCUUCUCCCUAUGGAGAUCACUGGAAGUUCAUGAAGAAGGUUCUCGUCACAAAGCUGCUCGGACCACAGGCACUAGAGCGGUCAAGAGACGUUCGUGCAGAUGAGCUGGAGAGGGUUUAUGCAAGGCUGCUUGAUAAAGCGAGGAAGGAAGAGAGUGUUGAGAUCAUUAAAGAAGUGGUAAAUCUCACUAAUAAUAGCAUAUGCAGGAUGAUCAUGGGGAAGAGUUGUUCCGAGGAGAACGGUGAGGCGGAGAGAGCCAGAAGCGUGGCUAGCGAAUCUCUUGCCUUGGGAAAGAAGAUAGUAUUGGGGUCCUUGUUGCGUGCAAGGUUUAAGCAUCUUGUAAUGUUACUGAUUAAAAAGGAAAUGACGGUUGUUUCCAACAAGUUUGAUGAGCUGUUCGAAAGGAUUCUUGUGGAACACGAAACUAAACAGGACGGACAUCAAGAAACAGACUUGAUGGAAGCGUUAUUGGCUGCUUAUGGAGACGAUAAGGCAGGGUACAAGAUCACUAGGAAACAUAUCAAGACGUUGUUCGCGGAUCUUUUGUUUGCAGGCACAGACUCUUCAGCGCAAGCAGCACAGUGGGCAAUGGCGGAGAUUAUUAAAAACCCUAACGUUCUCAAGAGACUGAGAGAAGAAAUAGAUUGCCUUGUAGGUCAAGGCACAAGAUUAAUUCAUGAAACUGACCUACCAAAUCUUCCUUACCUACAAGCCGUAGUGAAGGAAGUACUAAGACUGCACCCGCCAGGAACUGUCUUCGGAAGGAUCUCUCAAAAAGGGUUCAGGAUGGGAGAGUACUACAUACCGGAGGAGACAUCAUUUGCUAUUAAUGUUUAUGCUAUAAUGAGAGAUCCUGAUUUGUGGGAAGAUCCUGAUGAGUUUAAGCCAGAGAGGUUUCUUCAAGAUUCUUCAAGAACGGCUGAAGAGGAAGAGGCAGAGAGAAGAGAGCCACUCAAGUAUAUUCCUUUCGGCAGCGGAAGGAGAGGCUGUCCUGGAUCAAACCUAGCUUAUGUCUUUCUAGGAACAGCUGUUGGAAUGAUGGUGCAGGGAUUUGACUGGAGAAUCGAAGGAGGUGAUAAAGUUAGCAUGGAAGAAACUGUUUUAGGACUGAGCUUGACCAUGGCUCAUCCUCCUAAGUUCAUUCCUGUUGCUCGAACCGCACGCCCUUUAAUUUCGAAAUGCUCGUGAGUCUUUAAUUGAGUGGUCUGCAAGAUUGUUCAAGUGAUAAGGAAGCUUUGUUUUUGUUAUUAUGUUUGGGUGUGUGUGGUGUCCAAGUCGUCCAGGUGAGUUGGUUAUCUUUGGUUGAGUUUGGUUUAUGGUGUGAAACCGUAUUGUUUCCGGUUUUAGUCUUGCCAUGUUUCCCGGUUUUCUGUGGUUUAUUUUAGUUUGGUUUAUUGUAUUGUUCAAAGUUUGAAUACUACAGUAAUGAAUAACAGUGUUGUUUGUUCUU